ACUUUUAAAAGAAAAGAGAUACUAUCCCAUCAGAACUCCGCAGUUAAGCGUGCUUGGGCGAGAGUAGUACUAGAAUGGGUGACCCCCUAGAAAGUCCUCGUGUUGCACCCC